UGGGGAAUAUUGGACAGUGGGCGAAAGCCUGAUCCAGCCAUGCCGCGUGAGUGACGAAGGCCUUAGGGUUGUAAAGCUCUUUUGGCGGGGAAGAUAAUGACGGUACCCGCAGAAUAAGCUCCGGCUAACUUCGUGCCAGCAGCCGCGGUAAUACGAAGGGAGCUAGCGUUGUUCGGAAUCACUGGGCGUAAAGCGCACGUAGGCGGAUUUGUCAGUCAGGGGUGAAAUCCCGGGGCUCAACCUCGGAACUGCCCUUGAUACAGCAAGUCUUGAGUUCGAGAGAGGUGGGUGGAAUUCCUAGUGUAGAGGUGAAAUUCGUAGAUAUUAGGAAGAACACCGGUGGCGAAGGCGGCCCACUGGCUCGAUACUGACGCUGAGGUGCGAAAGCGUGGGGAGCAAACAGGAUUAGAUACCCGUGUAGUCCCUGAGCGGGCUGGCAAGGCGCAU
rnacentral:rRNA from 1 species